GAUGAACGCUGGCGGCGUGCCUAACACAUGCAAGUCGAGCGAAAGGACGAGAAGCUUGCUUUUCUGAUGUUAGCGGCGGACGGGUGAGUAACACGUGGAUAACAUACCUAUCCGACUGGGAUAACUUCGGGAAACCGGAGCUAAUACCGGAUAAUAUUUUGCACCGCAUGGUUCAAAAGUGAAAGUCGGUCUUGGUGUCAGUUAUAGCUGGCUCCGCGCUGCAUUAGCUAGUUGGUAGGGUAACGGCUUAGCAAGGCUAGGAUGCAUAGCCGACCUCAGAGGGGGAGCGGCCACACUGGAACGGGAACACGGUCAAGACUCCUAGGGGAGGCACCAGUAGGGGAUCUUCCGGAAUGGGCGAAAGCCUGACGGUGCAACGCCGCGUGAGAGAUGGAGGUCUCAGGGUCGUAAAACUCUUUUAUGAGGGAAGAACAUAUGUCUAAUUUACCGGGCACGUCAUGACGGGAACUGGUCAGAAAGCCACGGCUAACUACGUG
rnacentral:rRNA from 1 species